ensembl:lncRNA
UUGCCAUAAACCUAGCAGUCCAUGACUUUAAAAGAAUGAAAUUCAAACAGAAAGAACAGGUUCCUGGGCCAGAACAGCAGUUCUCAGAGAGGACCGGACAUUUCUUGAACGCAAGCUCUUUAGUUUCCUGGUAAAUCUUGGAACCCUAGACUUAGAGGUCCUGCGUAGCUCUAAGACAGAAGUCACUCCAUCAUCAGAGAAGGUUUCUAACAGAUGGCGGAAGCAGGCUGGGAGGCCCAGGCUUUGAAAGCCGGGUGCACCUCGUCACCCUGGUGGAUGAGGAAACGUGGUCUCAGGAAAGGCUGAGCGUCCCGCCCACACCCGCCGGCAGCGCAGAGCCUCUGAGCAGGGGAGCACAGGCAGCUGGGACCCUUCCUGGGCCCUCAGCAGGCGCUCCCUUUCUCCCUUUAUAGUGCAGGUGGAGGCUGCGGGCUCCGCCUGGCCUGGCGGCUCUUGUUUUCCCACCUGCCGGCAGUGCGGUUUGUCUGCUGGCGCCACUGAGGCGUUGGGCUGGGGGAAUUUGAUCGGCAGGAGGGAAGGUUGUCUCCCUAAGACUUGAGCACAGUCUAAGCCUUCCCUCCCUCCUCCGCGUGCCCUGCUGAGAUGCCCUUCCUGAGGAGGGGAGGGGCAGGAGGAGCCGAAGCGGGAGUGUCUGAGGCUUGCAAUAAAUAAGGGAGGUGCCGGGAGUCUGAAGUGUCCUGAAACCCUGCCGCCUGACCUCGCUGUGAAGGUGGCAGGGCAGACCACGCACAGGCAUCCUCUGCAGGACACACUCAGACAGAGCUGCCUCUUAGCACCUGGCAGAAGGGCCAGAGAAGCCUCAGGGCUCACUCCCCCAGACUUCUGACCCUCAACAUUCUCAGCAUGGCUCCCUAGCUGUGUGGAGGCUUCUGGGCCCAGGGUUUUCCCAUUAUCUCCCUUGAGAAGAGGGCGGUAGAGAAGGACCUGCACUGGGAGGCCCACCAGGUUCCCAAGCCAGCUUGGGUUGGCGCUGCCUUCCCCUUCCAACCUCUCUCUGGGAAACCAAACACGCCAUCGGGCACUCAGAGGACCUCCUAUCUAGGUCAUUCUGCUCUGCCUGAUGGGUCUCUGCUGUCUGACAUGAGAGCCGACUCUGUUCUCCACCUCCUGCCAGCCCAGUGCAAGGCUUGGGUGCUGGAUGAACUCUCCAAGGGAGCCACCUCUGUUGGCUGGAGAUCCCUCAAGCCUUCUGCACCAGGACAGGAGGCCUUGAAGCCUCUGCUUCCCUAGCUGGUGUGUUCUUCUGUGGGGUAACCCUUGCCCUCGCUGAAGCGUCCUCAAGGAGACAGGAGACCAAGCGCUGGAAAGCUCCCUGGUUACUCCUCCUCCUCUUGCCUGCCUGGGUUUUUGGACCCUGUGGCAGCAGAGGGAGAGACGAAAUGUCUAGGUGGGAAGGGCCACCGUAGGCCUCGUCAUCAUCAAUCAGCCAUCUGGGGCUGAGCCCUGACUCUGUCCAGGGCCUGGUGUGACACACCUGAAGCACAACACACUUUCUCUUUCAAGGCGUUUAUAACCUAGGCUGGGAGGAAGGAUAGAGAAGGAGCUGAAUACUAACACAUGGGAACAUAUGCUCAACAGGCAUGACAGUCCCUACUGGAGAACGGAAGGAACAGGGAGUUGAUGAGGUUGG